rnacentral:rRNA from 1 species
AGUGAACGCUGGCGGUAGGCCUAACACAUGCAAGUCGAACGGCAGCACAGUAAGAGCUUGCUCUUACGGGUGGCGAGUGGCGGACGGGUGAGGAAUACAUCGGAAUCUACUUUUUCGUGGGGGAUAACGUAGGGAAACUUACGCUAAUACCGCAUACGACCUACGGGUGAAAGCAGGGGAUCUUCGGACCUUGCGCGAUUGAAUGAGCCGAUGUCGGAUUAGCUAGUUGGCGGGGUAAAGGCCCACCAAGGCGACGAUCCGUAGCUGGUCUGAGAGGAUGAUCAGCCACACUGGAAAUGAGACACGGUCCAGACUCCUACGGGAGGCAGCAGUUGGGAAUAUUGGACAAAGGGCGCAAGCCUGAUCCAGCCCUACCGCGUGGGUGAAGAAGGCCUUCGGGUUGUAAAGCCCUUUUGUUGGGAAAGAAAAGCAGCAGGUUAAUACCCCGCUGUUCUGACGGUACCCAAAGAAUAAGCACCGGCUAACUUCGUG